UCCGGUGGUUUUAGCGGAGGGGCCACACCCGUUCCCAUCCCGAACACGGCCGUUAAGCCCUCCAGCGCCGAUGGUACUGCGCAUGCGCGUGGGAGAGUAGGACGCCGCCGGAU
rnacentral:rRNA from 1 species